AGACCGAUUAGGGUUUCAGAAACGAUUUCAAAACAUUUCAAAACGCCCGCUUCCCUGCUCCUCUCUCUCUCUCUCUCUGGCGAUUCAGGAACGAUUUCACCGGAUCUGCUCCUCUCUCACCAGAUCUAUGAAGUUUCAACAGAUCGAUGAAGAUUCUGACCUCCUGGUUCUGUUUUCCGGCUUUUAUUGGCAUUUUGCAACAUUCGUCAAGGGAUGUGGAUGUGGAUGCUGGUGAUUGUGACAUUGUUCAAGUCAUUGAAAACAGUGGAGAUAUUUUAAAGCUUUUGCGCCUCACACAUGUAGGUGGAGGCUACAAAUCAGUUUUUAAAGGUGGUGAUAGGGUUGUGGAGAUUCCAAUUGAUGAGUCACACAGGUUCAUUUAUCAGCUCCCAGCUGUUCGUUUAACAGAUGAACAAGAUGGUCGAUUGAGAGGGUUUUGGUGAGUCACACAGGUUCAUUUUAAAGCUUUUGCCCCUCACACAUGUAGGAAAGAGAAGUAAAACGAUUCAUAGAAGAUCCACAUUUGUUUGUACAUUCACAGAAGGUGUGGGUUCUCAAUCAAGUGAUCUCAAGGUAAAAGAGAUAUUCAGUUACACUCGGGACGAGUUAACUACCGAAGACAUGUUAAUACUCGACUGUUACGCUGAAGUUUACGUGUGGGUAAGCCAUAAUUCAGUUGUCAAGUCAAAGCAACAGGCCCUUUCUAUUGGCUUGGCGCUCCUUGAAAAAGAUGUUUUGGGAGAAUGUUUAUCCGUAGAUACUCCUAUAUACGUUGUUACAGAAGGGCAUGAACCUCCGUUUUUCACUCGCUUUUUUGGUUGGGAUGCUUCAAAGGCAAAUUAAAUCUUUUAAAGGUUGAUACGCAUUUGGACUUUUUUUGGUAGAUGCUAGGCAACUCAUUCGAGCGAAAGCUGGCUAUGUUAAAAGGGCAGACACACAAACUUGAAGCACCUUCAAGAAAUUCACCGAGUGUAACGCCAAACGGGAUGACAAGACCGUCGCCAACUCCAAACGGGUUGAGAAGACCGUGUCCUAUUCCUAACGAUUUGUAGAUCUGCAUAUGUUUGAUUAUUAUAAGUUGCAUAUGUUUGUUUACCGUAUGCUAUUACGAGCCCUAACUUUUCUUUUUUUUGUUUCUCUGAUGGAAACCAGAAAUGAGAAAGCGUUUCGCAACAACUAACCCGAGAAACGCCCUCGCAUCGUCUGGACGCCGCAGUUGCAAAAGCGGUUUGUGGAUGUCGUUGCACAUCUCGGUGUGAAAAACACGGUUCCCAAAACAAUAAUGCAGUUAAUGAAUGUCGAAGGAUUGACUCGCUAGAACGUCGCGAGUCAUCUUCAAAAGUACCGGCUUUAUUUAAAGCGGAUGCAGGGGUUGUCGAACGAAGGACCUUCGUCUUCAGAUCACUUGUUCGCCUUGACCCCUGUUCCGCAAAGCUUGCACGAGUCCAGUGGCGGGGUGAACGAAAACAGUCAUGAUCUGGUUCCAUUCCCAAUGCCUCACCCACCCAAAUGAUGCCUUAUCAUCCGGGUGGGGGUUUUUAUAAUAAUGGGUUUGAAACACAUUCUCAUUCUCAUCCUUAUAAUAUGAUGAUGCAGCAAAGAGACUCGUCUGGGAAUAAAUUUGUGCAGUAUCAGCACCAUAUGAACGAUAAAUAGACGCGAAUUCAAUGUUUAUCCACGCGAAAACAGAGACAAGCGCACUACAACAGAUGACACUUUUUACUAGGGUUGAACCAUCCCACAAAAAGAUGUUGGUUGAAGCACUACAACACCAAAAUGAAGUGGUUGCGAUGACUGGAGAUGUGGUGAAUAAUGCACUUGCAUUAAAGAAAUUUCAUGUUGUGUUGGCAGGUAACAAGUGUUAGUCGUCAUUGAAAAGAUUAACUGUAUGAUAAUCUCACCAGUGGAUGGAUCAGUACACAUUUGGAAAGCCUGAGCAUUAAAAACCUGCAAUUGCAAAGCUUGAGAUGUAUUAGCUUUUGGAAAGCUUGAGAUGUAUUCCACUAUUCCUUUUUCUUAAACCUAUACAGUCAAGACAAAUAUUGAAGACAGUUUCAAGUUUGGCUUUAUUGCUGAUGAUAAAAGAAAAAUAACUGCUACAACUUGUGUACCCAUACUGGCAAUUAGAAUUUACGUCGUGGUCACAUACGAAAGGUUAAAAGGAUAGGUAAAAUGGUAAGAAUGGUCGACUUUGAUUAGUGAAACUGAGCCAUUUCAACUCACUAGACCUUGAAGUUGAACCCAACUAUAUUAUUAAUCUUGUUUUUUGAGAUUAAAUAUGUUGGAGAGGAACAAGAGAGGAAGCUUGGAGAGGCUGGUUUGAAUCUAAUGGGCAAAAUAACUAUUUUUGGCAUACAAUGGAGGAUUCUGAUGUUCUUAUGAUUUGGCUUCGUGUGAGCAAUGGUGGUUGCUUCAGAAUCAUCAAAAGGCAGCAAGCCUGCAUCAAGUGGAUGCAUGCUUCUCUUCAAGUGAAGUAAAGACUUGCAGCCGUUACUGAAUACUGCAAGUCCUUUUCUUGUGAUCUCAGGCAACGGCUGGCAUCUUAGUAGUGGUUUUAUGUGCUUCAAUACUAUUUGGUCAGUGAUGCCAGUGAUUGGCAUUCGCAGCACUUUUAGGAAAUUUUCAAUGAAAAAGACAUUCAACAAGAGAGUUUCGAAAUAUUAAUUGAACAUGGUUUUUAUAAUCCUGAUUAA